AGGUUGAAAGAAUACGCCUCCUUGAAAAAUAGCCCGGAAGCUUUCUACUCCGCAAUAUCUGACGAAUGGUGUUAGUGCAAUAUUUUUUAGGUAGUGCAUGCAUAUAGAAAAAUAAAUAGAGCUGCCGAUUGAGUCGCCUCCUAUGCAGCACAGCAUUCUGGAGAUCUCCUCCACAGUUUUGACAGAUUAUUGUUUUUGAUUCUGUUGAUUGUAUGUAUACUAGAAUAGGAUGAGCAGCUGUUGUAUUAAAAAAUAAUACUAAUAAUAAUAAUAAAAAACUGCAGCAUACCGGGCUAUUCAGUCUAACGCUUGGUUACCCUCGCAGUAUACAUGGGUCCGCUUUAAAAGCAAAAAAACUCCCCUUUUAUUGAAAGAUAUCCUGUAAUAAUGGAUGACGGACAUUCCUCCAAGCAUUAUUCGCAUUAAUCCAAGAUGGUACAGCAGCUGAAUCACCUUUUGACCAGACCUGCUGUGCAUUGCAUUGUUGAAUAAAUGCAGCAAGACCCAAGCAAGCUACAAGCAGCUCUGCAAAAAGAAACUGAAGAGCUGGUUAUCUUCUUACCAUAAGCACAUAACAUCUUCCCAAACUGAUCUCUGAUCAGAAAUCCAGCUGCUGCAGAAGGCCCACAAACUGAACCAUGCAUCAAAAGUUUAUUUUUAGCACACCCAAGAGAAGAGGCAGCCACAAGAUAUAAGUAAGAUUUGAAUAGAUGUUAUAUUGAUAAAAAGAACCAUCCAAGUUACUUCACUGUGCAGAAAUUCCUUGUUCAUUUAUUAAACAUAGAACCGUUCUUACCACUUGCUGCGGUGUAGUGGUAAGAAUGAUUCUAUGUUUUAGCUUAACGUUAUUUUCUUGAGAAAAUCUAUCUUGAAUUUGUUCCCCUUUAAUGGUUUUACUUCCUACAAAAUAUUAGUUUGUGAUCCACAUCAAGAAGUCCAAGCAGUUGUUUUUAAGGAAGUCCUGUGCCUGCUAACCAAUCAGUAGCAACAUUAGUCUGCCUAGAAACAUGUUGAACAGUGAAGUUCUGAAGGAAGGAAGUUAUCUCCUCUCAGCAGAGGAACCAUUAAAUGGGAUAACUUCUUUAACCAUUGAAUGACAGCAAGGGAAUUUGGAGACAAGGACUACCAAACUUUAUAGUUACCAUCACAAUAUCUUCCCAGGCUGCACGAAGUUCAGUGUAGGAACAAAACUUGAAGAAAAGCAUGGAGCACCAACCUCCACAAAGUUUGCUCUGAUAUCAUUUCUAUCACAAUUCAAGACCUUACCUUACAAGAUUAGUCGGAAAGUAUUUUUUUUGGCUUCUUAGUCCUGUAUAAAUAUCCAAAAAAAUUUCAACGAAUAAUCGAUGUGAAACUAAACACAUGCUCGUACGGAUUCUCAUGAGAAGACUAGAGUUGCAAAUGUUCUAGGGCUGAGGGUUAGAAAAAGAUUCAAGCCAUUCUUUUGCCAGUCUAGUAGAGCAGUUAGCAAUGUUAUCAAGAGUCAAAACUUGGUCUUCGAAAGUACUUGAAUUCCUAGCAGACCAUAGAGACCAACUGCAGUAAGCUACAAUGGAUUUCUAUAGAUUAUCAUGGGAUUGGGAAAGAAAUUGUAGAACACCUUCUAGCGAAUCAUCAAAAAGCACCGCAUUCCCAAUAGCACCAGCAAUCAAAAACCACAUAAGUCAACAAGCCAAUUGAUCUACAUCCAGUAAUCAGCGUUGAAGUAAGAAAAACUUGCAAGGCGGUCUUUUUCACAGUAUUUUCCACCAAAAAUAGUUUGACUCUUGGUGAUGUAGCAAGUUUCCAAAUGAUAGAGAAGUUCACUUGAUCUUCCCUCUCUGAAAUAUUUUGAUGUAUUAGCUCAUUAUAAAUCUGAUGUGCCUUCGCUGAAGUUGAGGCGGAUUGAUACCAAGUGUCGCAAUCCUCGGCAAUCUACCUUAAUAAUGGGAGAGAAGUAAUUCUGCUGACCAACUCAUGAUUGACGCACUCAUGGAGAAUAGUAAGAUCCCACUUAGCAGGCUCAGUAAAGAGAGUACUUGUUUUUACGACAUUGAUGUCCUUUUUUUUCCUUCUAGUUAGGAAGUGACCAAUCCUGCUCAAUUCAGGCAUCUAGAAAGAUGUUAAGAUCCCGGUCCAUAUUUUCAAAAUAAAAUAUUAAAAACUGACCAUUGUGAUAAAUGUGAGAUUAAAAACUAUAUUUAACUAUUAAUUUGAAAUUUAUUACUUAAAAACAUAUCUACCGAAGUCAAAAAGUGAUUAAAACUAUCUAUCGGUAUGAACAUAUAAUAUCAGCUGAUUUCUCAUAUAAAGACUAUUUAUCAAUUUAUAUUGGUCAAUGUAAUAGGAUCAAGAUUUUUAUAAUUAUUAUAAUGGAAGAUGCUCAAUUCCUAUAUUGAACCAAGAAUUAUUUUCCUUGUUUUUUUCCCCCAAGAAGCAAAGCACCUCACAUGUGAGUGACCAUCUUCCUUUAGGGCAAAUCAUGAGAGUAUAUGGUUAAUUUGUUGAUACCAUAUUUCUUCUUUUAAUUAGAAAGUAAAAAAUAGUGCUCAAGAUUACGACUAAAAUAAUUGCAGUAAUUGAUCUUUAAUACACAAAUUAUAAAUUAUAAUAAUGAAAAAGGGUCUAGGAGUUAGUAGAUAAAUGAUUAAGAUCUCAUUAGUCAUUGAUCAACAGUGUGUUUAAAAGUGGACUAUUUGUCAAUCAGCAUCUCUUUUAUAGAAUAAAAUUUUAGGAGGUGAAAUCUCAUUAGCUGAAAAUGAAGGGGAAGAGGACAUUUGCAGGGCACUUCACUGUCAUGAACCAUUUUGUUGCUUGUUUUAUAAUCUACAUAAUGGCAAUCAAAAUAGGGGCGGUAUAAAAUUAUUAUAGUUCACAUCUACACUGCUCAUUUUUUAUUAUGAUUGAUAAAGAAGCACUAUUUUGUUGUUAAAGGACGAAAGAAUUAUAUAAGGUUUCAAUACUGUUCCAAGGUCAUUUAACAAUUUAAUGUUAAAAGGACUGAUGCAUGUAGGCACACUGACAUAUUUUUAUAUUGGUAAUGAGACAAGCUAACUGGUGUGAGAAUGAAUUGUUACAGCACAAAACCUUAUCCAAAAAUACUGAAAACCUUCUGCUUUGUGCAGCCUUCUUACUAGUGAUGUGGCUGUGCUCAUGCGAAAGUAGUGUGAAUAGCUGAUGUAUAAACCUUUCAGUUUCUUUCUCCUGUCCUCUACUUGAAACUGCAUAUCCUUUUCCUUCUCGCUGUCAGCCAUUCCACCGACAUUUGACACAACCCGGCCUCCUCUCUCCGACUCUCUUUAGCCGCCUCCCUGCAAGUACCCACAUUGAGACCGCCGACAUUGGCUCUCUCUAUUCCAUUUUCCUUUCCUGCUCGUCCUUUUCUCCACGAUCGUAUCUAGUCGUAGGUGUGUUUAGCUUAUUUAAUUUUGUGGAGUUUGGGUACCCCGUCUCUCCGAUCCCCUACCCCCACCCUCGCCGCAUCUGUUCUUCUCACCCUGGAUUGAUUUAUGUGGGGAUUGGGUCAUCUGGACAAGGGUGGAUUUAGAGUGGAGUUCCACAUUCUAAUUCUUUAAUUAAGAUGAAAUCCUAACCUUCUAAUUUAUUUUAUUUUUAGAAAUUUAAUUUCGAUCGAAGUAGAUUAGGGUAAACAUGGAAUUAGGGUAAUUUAAGAUUUAAAAAGAAAUAAAUGAUUGAUUUAAAUGCUCAACUGGUGCUUGAUCAUAGAUAGGUGGGUUUCUAGAUUUUUACGAGGAUAAUUAGUUUCCUUAAUUAUGUUAAAUUAUUGAUAUUAAUUUGAUUGGAUAUGCUUGAUGCAUUUUGUGGCUCGUGGGCAUAUCCUGAUUUGGGUUCUAUUGCCCGUUAAGGGUAAGAAUUUUCCUUUGCACACUUUCUUGCAUGAAUGUACACUUUGAUAUGCUUAUAUUUAUUAUAGAGGAUAGAAGAACUUGAUAAUAUUUUUAUAUAGUUUAUUGUAAGUUCGAUGUAUACAUGAAAUUGAUAUAAAUGUGGCUUGCAUAAUUUGAUGGUUGAUGGUAGUGAUGGACUAGCCAUAUUUAUCGUUCCUCAUUACAGGCUAGAAACGUAGUAUUAUCCCCAUCAAAGACUGAAAAUAUGGUACCAUCGUUUUUCCGUCAUAGGCUAAAAAUGUGAUCAGGGAUGGUCCAAAGUCGAAACUAACUUGAAACACUUGGUAUACACUUCUGAUACUUAUGGAUGAGUGAGGUAUAUGGGCUAAACUCGUUAAUAUCAUUACUCCAUCACAAACUAUAAAUGUGCCAUCGUUUUCCCAUUCUGAAAAUUUUGCACCAUCGUUGCCUCAUCAUGGGCUAGAAACAUGGUCCACUCGAAGCUGAAUUCAAAUUAAACUAUAUUUGUUAAUUGACAUCUAAAUAAUGGGGACACAAUACAUGGAACAGAAGAGGUCAAAAUUUAACAUGCCCCCUCAACAAUAAGCAAUAUUGCAUCAACAUAAAAUCAAAAGCUUACCAGCUACAAAGAAAAAGAGAACAAAAGCAAUAGAAGAAGAGAACAAUAAAUUGUCUCUCAAACUUUUGGCAAGCACAAAAGCAGGAAAACAAUGAUCAAGUGCAAGUCCUCACAGCAAACAGUGGCACAAAAACUCAACUUCAACAAACUGUAUAUCCCACUCACCUUGCCUUAGUUAUUGCAUUAGUGCAACAAAAAUUUCUUUUGCUCCCUUCAUACAGGUCUUCCAUCGACAACACAGUAUAAUACACCCAACUGUUGAAGAUAAUUGAAAGAACUCACACAAAAUCAUUUCUCUUUUUAUUUUUUAUUUUCAUAUAUAGUAUAUCUAUGUCCAUCACUCUUAAUAUUCAGGCUCUUCUUUCGCUCCACAUUAACGAGUUCUGUCCAUGAUUAUAUUUGCCAGACACCUAAGAUGUAUGUGAUGUGUGAAUAUAUGUACCCCCUAUUUUGUUUUAUUCCAAUUCUGGAACUCAUACUUGUGCACUAAUGCAGCAUCCGUGACCGAGUUACCAUCUUUAAGUUACAGAGCCUGUGACAAGAGUAACUUUAAUGCUUCAAACUCAAUUCAUGGAGUUAUUGUUAGCCUUUUACACAACUGUAAAAAACAAUUUCCUUUCAUUUGCAAAACUUUAGCUUUGACUAUAUUUUAAUAUGAAAGAAACCAAAUAAAACCCAAAUGACAUCAAGAAGCAUUUUAUUGUCAGACUGUGUGACUCAGAAACAUGCUAGAGAAAAAACUGAUAAGCAAUUUCUUAAUUUCUUAAUCAGUUCCAUUUUUUAAUGGAGUUUUGAUCGGUUAUCCAAGAGACAUCCAAAGUAAAAUUAGCUAAAUAUGUUUUAUAUUUUAUGAAUUGUUUUGGCAACUACAGCAUAAUAACUUCAGCAGAGGAGGAUGGAUACAAUUGCAGAUGGUCAUGCCAUUUGAGCAAAGAAGAGAUGAGAUAUUGAUCGAUGCAGUGCACUCGACCACAUUUCUUUUUAAUUAAUUUGAUAUUGUCCAACUUCAAUGCAAGAUCAGGAUCCUCAUAAUAGUACAUCAUAUCGGAGAUCUACAUACAAAAAUAAGUCUGUUGCACUUGCAAAUUUGUCUGCUACGGUCUUUCCCAAACAAUUGUUCAAGAUUGAAAGGUUCUUAGUUUAAGACCAGAUGCAGAUGUGAGAAGAUAUUGAUUUAUCACUGCAUUUAAACCUCACAAUAAAGUCUCCAUUGUGAAGAUCUCGAAACAGUGAAUCCAAAACAAUAGAAAUAUGCCAUCUCUAUGAUUCCAUGUUAAUCCUAAAUCUUUCCAAUGGCUGCAAAUCAUGUUUUGACGGCGUAAUAUUUGCAUGUUUCUUAGCCGCAAGGCCUUGUUAUAUUUUCAGGAUGGAAACAGCAUUUAUGAAACCAAAUCUGCAAGAGUGACGUUAUCAUGAGGAAUAGGAUAAUCAUUUCAAUUGUCAAAUUCUAGGACCAUAUUAUAAGAGAUGCCAUGCCAAAGGAUGAGGAUGCUAGGCUGUUAGAGUUAUGACCUUUUGCUUUGAUUCUUCCACAGUUCUUCAGAAUCUUGAUGACUCAGGUACAAUUGAAAAUAUUAUUAAUUAUGUGUUUUUAUAUGGUCCAAGCCUUUGUGCAGAUAGCACUUGUAGGAAAAAUACUUGUUAGUGAUAGCUAGGCUGUGGGACCACAAAUCUGCUCCUCGGGAGGAGUGCUCCUUUGGAGAGAAAGGGAUGUACAAAUGAAGAAAGACAGACAUAGUGUUAAGGAGGGUUGGUGAAGAAAGAAAAAAGGCCCUUAAGAAGAUGCGUGGAAGUUGCGAGGAACGAUUUAAAAGUGCCCAGUCAUAUGGAAUUUAUAUACCUUGCUAGGAAGGCAAUUAUACUGACAUUCUGUCCCACUUCAAUAUAGUUAGAUCGAACAGACUUAAUAAAUGAAAAAUCCACCCCUGUCUAUCUCUAGCAAUGUUAUGAGGGAUAACAUGUCUGAGUUUGAAUGUGAUCAAGAAUGUCAGGUUGGGAAUAUUUUUGCCUUAACAUAAGAAUAUCCUACAUUGUAUUAAUCAUACUCCUCGAGAUUAACUCUACAUACUCAAUCAGGAUAGCAGUACUUUACGAAUUGAUUGUCUGUCUUCUAUAAAGAGGGUCAGUGUAUGCAUCAACUAUAAUCUAUAUUUCAUUCUGCAUAGCUUCCAUAUCAUGUCAAGCAUGUGCAUAUUAAACAUGUGACAGCAUAAUCUAAUCUUAAAGAAGAUCAAUUCAAAAUCAAAAGAAUGGCUCUAUCCAUUUCUGGGCAACUUUGUCAUGGUUUACGGUGACAUAUGUUCAUCCAUUAAGAAAAAAAAAGCAAGCGUACAGGUGAAAUUCACAGCGUGAGACAUCUGAGAACCAUAUUAACAGAUUCAACAAUCAAUGGUAGAGUUUUUUUUUAACUUUAAUAAGAUUUUUCGAUCAUGUAAAUUGGGUGUUUCAUCUUAUAAUCAUUUUCCUUCUACACAAAAAUCAUUAUAUUUUUCUUUUAUGUACUUUUACAAAUAUGAUUUUUGAUUAAUGCAAUGGAUCCUGGUAAAUGUUCUCAAGCAAGCAUGCGUAUUCCUUGAUGGACUAAACCAUGAUAAAGACCGGCAUAAAGGGUGCUGUAAACAUGCCUAGAAAAGCGUCUGACAUGUUAGCUAGAUCUAUGACACUGUGUUUUCUAAUGCCAAUAGCUCAUCAAAGUUUUCAAUUUUAUAUUUUGGCUUUGCGAAUAAGCUGAAAUUAUCGUGCAUUUCAAAAUAUUUUAAAGCUCUCGGAAUAUGAACCUUUUAGUUAAACAUUAGAAAGGUCCAAAAUUUUGAAUCACAACAAAGAAAAAACAAAAACUGAGAAUAAAUGGUCGUGACAAGUUCUGCAAAUUGAUUCAGAUACACUAAUGUGUUGAUUAAUAAAAUAAAGAGUUCUAUAACUAAUUCAAUGAAUUAGUCUAAGACCCUACAAAAUCUCUAAAUUUCUUGUAUAUAUACUAAAACUUUCCAAAGCAUAACAAGAACUAAAGAAAACAGCUUAGUUUACCGGUUUCACGAAGGCAUCAGCUGGCUCCUCUUUGCCACAGAUUCCAUCCCUCCAAAUGGCCACGACGUCCUACCACCUCGCCGCCGCCGCCGCCGCCGCCGCAUCCAUCCGCACCGCAGGCGAGGACUACGGCGUUAUCUCCCCGGCAUCGGCGGCCGAUCGGCGCCGCCCACCAGCACGUCCGCUUCGAGAGCCAUCAAGAUCGAAGGAGAAUUUGGCCAUCAAUUCGGGAGCGAUCGAAAUGCGAGGAGAUCGAAAAGCGAGGAUGAAGUGAGAGAGCUAAACCCUAGCGAGGUCGCGUUAAGAAGAAAAAGGGGCUUUAGGUUGAC
rnacentral:lncRNA from 1 species